AACAGUAUUUAUUUCCGUGUAGUACAUCAGAUAUGAGUCAUCUAUAUAAAAAAGUUCAAUUAAAAAGGUACGAUGCUGCAAAAUAUCACCUAAAUUAAAUAUUUAGAAAAAGUCAUACUUAUGCUAUUUUGAAAGUCAUCUGAUACAGUACUUAAAGUAAUUUCCACAAUCUCAAAACGUGCUUCUUGUCAAAACAUUGAUCUUGUGGUCACUUUUUCAUGCAAAAUUCAUACAAAGCUGAAAAGAGAAACAGAUUUCAGUGAGAAGAAUUAAUUUAAAUGUGAGGCAAGUCACAAAGUGGGAAUCAGGCAAGUCACAAAGUGGGAAUGAAACUGUCCUGACAUUACCUUGGCAGGCCGGAAGAUGAAUAGUAGAGUUGCUGCUGCUGACUUUAUUCUGAACCAUACAGGUCAGAGUUCCUGUCACAUCACUCUUCAGUAUGACACUGUUCUGGUGGUGGUCAGAGGCUACACUCCUGGUCAGAUUCUGGCCAUUCAGGGUCCAGCUGUACUGAAGACCAUCUCCCUCUGAGGAGCAUGUGACCACGGUCUCUCCAUGAGGCAGACAGAGGUGAGACAACACUGGCUCUGACACCGGGGCUGACAGACACAAACAUCUUACUGCCACUUAGCAUGAUCCAACAAAACACUGGUGAACUUUCAUAUGGUGCUUCUUGGUAUCUCUGAUUCAUGCUAAUAUAAUAUUAUACAUUAUAUACUGUAACUAUAAUACUGGCAGUUAACAUUUUCUCCCUUACUACAGGAUACAUGAUUCUCUAUAUAAAAAACGCUUCUGUACCUUGUAUCUCAAGUUGCAUGUUGACUCUCCGCAACUGUGUUCCCUCUGAAUUAAAUAUAUUCAAUUGGUAAUCUCCAGAGUCAUCCUCUAUAACACUGUCCAGCCUGAAUGUGGUGUUAUUUAAGAACUCGGAGCGAUUCACAUAAUCCUGAUGCAAUUUAGAUCUCCAGUCUUCUCCAGUUUGGAAGUUCAGAAUACGAUUAUCACCUUUCUUCAAUGUAAUUCUUUCUUCAGCCCUGUUUGCAGUCAGAUGUAAGGACAAACAUUCUCCCACAGCCCCAUAGCAUUGAUGAUUUCCACUCUCCUCAGUGAGAUUACAGAACGUAGCACUAACUGUGGAGAAUAGAUAUUAUUUUAUUUAUUAAUGUCUGAAGGUGCUUUCAAAGGUGACAAAAAUAGCAUUGAUCUAUUGAUUUAAACAUUUGUUAACCAUUAAAGGGAAUACAUGUAAAUUGGUAUUUACAGAACCUUUUUAACAAUUAUCAUAUUUUUCUGAAAUUUCUGUUUUGGAUCCUACCAUGGAUAAGCUCAUGUUUAAUACAAUUGAUUCCAUUAUAAUCUUUGUAAUAUAAUGUCUUACCUUGUGCUGCCGCUGUGGCCACCAGAACUAUAAUUAUCAUGGGGAUCAUUUAUCUUCUGCCUGCACAAGAGGAGUGAGUUAAGCUACAGGGUUAUUAUAAAAUAGUAUAGAUAGCAGUGGAUGAUGAUGAUGGAUGCACUAUAAAUGAAUGACAGGCUGGUUGACAAGACAU
rnacentral:lncRNA from 13 species